rnacentral:tRNA from 1 species
GCGCCCGUAGCUCAGCUGGAUAGAGCACUCGCCUUCUAAGCGAGCGGCCGCUGGUUCGAAUCCAGCCGGGCGCGCCA